UACGUAGGGCGCAAGCGUUGUCCGGAAUUAUUGGGCGUAAAGAGCUCGUAGGCGGCCUGUUGCGUCCGCUGUGAAAUCCCGGGGCUCAACCCCGGGCCUGCAGUGGAUACGGGCUGGCUGGAGGCAGGCAGGGGAGAACGGAAUUCCUGGUGUAGCGGUGAAAUGCGCAGAUAUCAGGAGGAACACCUGUGGUGUAGACAGCUUACUGGACCACUUCUGACGCUGAGACACGAAAGCGUGGGUAGCAAACAGG
rnacentral:rRNA from 1 species